UGGGGAAUAUUGGGCAAUGGGCGCAAGCCUGACCCAGCGACGCCGCGUGAGGGAUGGAGGUYUUCGGAUUGUAAACCUCUUUCAGUGGGGAAGAAGCGAAAGUGACGGUACCCAAAGAAGAAGCACCGGCUAACUAUGUGCCAGCAGCCGCGGUAAUACAUAGGGUGCAAGCGUUGUCCGGAAUUAUUGGGCGUAAAGAGCUCGUAGGUGGUUUAUCACGUCGGAUGUGAAAUUCUGAGGCUCAACCUCGGACCUGCAUUCGAUACGGGCAAACUAGAGUGUGGUAGGGGAGACUGGAAUUCCUGGUGUAGCGGUGGAAUGCGCAGAUAUCAGGAGGAACACCAAUGGCGAAGGCAGGUCUCUGGGCCAUUACUGACACUGAGGAGCGAAAGCGCGGGGAGCGAACAGGAUUAGAUACCCUGGUAGUCCGCGCCGUAAACGGUGGGCACUAGUUGUGGGAACCUUCCACGGUUUCCGCGACGCAGCUAACGCAUUAAGUGCCCCGCCUGGGGAGUACGAUCGCAAGAUUA
rnacentral:rRNA from 1 species